AACUGCUGUUUUUUUCUCCAUCCAAUUUUCAGCUGAAGUGGCAUCGGGAAUUGGACUGGCAUACUGUAGAUUUAUUUUCUGGAUGGAGGGAGGUUCGAAUAGGUGAAAUUGCAUCACGCUGUGCCUCGGUUUCUGUGGAAUUGUUUGCAGGCUGAAAAUUGUUGAUUUUGACACCUUUCGGGCUGCUGCAUUGUGUUCCUCUUUAUUUCCAUCUAAUAAAUGCAUUUGUGCCCUUUGUUGGCUGCAUUUUUUAUGGUUUUCAUUCCUUUUUGCGAACUCUGGCGGGGGGUCAUCUACUGCUGAAUCCUCCAGUUGGCCACUUGACUGGUGCUCGUCCUGCCGCUGGUCCUGCGGCUUGAGGAUAUCUUUAUUCGCUCAUUAGCAGCCCGAUUGUGCUGGCUGCAGGUCCUUCGAGUCCUGGAGCUCCUGCGGCGAGGUACUCAACUCAGUGGGCGUGUGAAAUUACCGAAAAUAAGAGGUAAAUUGCGUUUUUCCAACUCAAUUAUGCUUUAUUCGUCGAAAUGUUGGGGAUCAGAUUGCAAGAAGUCUUGUACAUAAUUACAAAUAAAUUUAAUUUAUAGUAUUAUUUUAUUUCGUUUCAACUUGAACUUGUAUCAUAACCACUCAUAAAAUGGUUUUAAAGUCUUUUCUCAUAAAAAGUUUCCAAAAUGGGUCUAUUUACAAGUUCCGGAUUUUAAAAAUAAUGAAUACUUUUUUUUAUAUUUAUUUACUAUACUGAAAUUCAAGUGACUUUCACAGUAUAAGUGACUUAUUUAUUAUAAGCUUUAACUAAAGCGCGCCUGCCGUGUUUCCAAUCGUAUUAGCAACACACACGUCUUGCAGAUUAGACCGCAAAUGAAACCGACUCAGCCGAAAAUCGCUGAACUUUCGACAGCAUUUCGCCUUGUAAUCAAAAUCCAUUAGUCAACAUAAUUACGCUUUAAUGGACUCGAAAGUUGUUUAUGCCUUGCCUCGAUUCGAACCGAAAGCGAUGGCUGUUGUUGUGCUCUUGCGAUUCCUAGCCCAUAAAUCUUGGAAAUCCGGCGACGAUUGCGACGGCCCCAACUGAUAACAGAGUGUGAAAAUAGCACUACCGAAUAUUAUUCCAUUGUUUUUGAAAAACUUUUGGAAUUUUAUAGCAAGUCACAGUGUUGACAGGGGGAACGAAACGAAGUGAGACUUUUGGCACGUCUUGACAAUUGAUGAACCUGCUCUGAUUUUGAUUCGGAAUUGCGAUUCGGACACUACAUAAAUUAUGCAAACUUUGUCGUGUGCCAAAAAAAAUGUAAUGCCCGAAAAUUAACAUUUAAAUCGUAGCGAAAAAUAAACCCGGUAGCACAAUUCA